CUCUGGAUCGCAGCUGUAGGGAAGUCCAGAUUGAUGUUUACAACUGGCUUGCAUCUUCACAUCUGCAAGCCUUGGAUGGUGAUUUCUUCCUCAGCUGCGGUCUGGAUUUGGGCAUGGUAUCAAGGGAGCCCAUAAAAUGUCAGGGGAUAUGCAAGGUAAAAUGAAGUUUGAAGUGUACAUCACACUAUGGAAGGGAAGCAGGAGGAGCCACAGAUUCUAGCUGAAUUCUUCCCUGAGAUAGCGGAGUGAUCAUGUGGGAGGUGGCAUUUGACUUGAAGAUUGCAGCGUGAGUAACUGCCUGACUCAGAAGAGUGGGAGAAGGGCUCUGGACACUUGAGCCUCGGCAGAAGUGUAUGGUAAACCACACUUUGUCUCCCCCUUAUCCUCGAAGGUUUGCUGCAUAUGGUUGGCACACUGUGCACUGGACAAUGGAAUGUGGCUGACCAGGCAUUGGGAGAGAUGGAAAUCCAACCCGCUGAAUGCUCACAACCGUGCAAUCUACCAUUCCCCUCAUGAACGGAUGCCCUUGUCCUACUUACUGCAUGGACUAGCUGCAGUUCUGUGAACAUAAAUAAGAAUUUGUGAGUUUCUGUUUUGUUUCUAGCGACUUUUUUUUUCAAAAAUUCAAUUUCUAACCAAACUGUACAUGUAGAAACAAAGAGAAAUAAUCAAUUAGGUCAAUAAGAAUUUGUUUACUUGGUUUUAUGGUUUUUUUCUCUACCAAUUGAAUUCCUUUAUUAAUAAAGGAAUUUAUAACUUGUAGUUCAAGAAAUAAUUGUAAAAUAUCAGAAAGAGCAUUGGA
rnacentral:lncRNA from 10 species